rnacentral:rRNA from 1 species
GUGGGGAAUCUUGCGCAAUGGGCGAAAGCCUGACGCAGCCAUGCCGCGUGGAUGAUGAAGGUCUUAGGAUUGUAAAAUCCUUUCACCGGUGAAGAUAAUGACUGUAGCCGGAGAAGAAGCCCCGGCGAACUUCGUGCCAGCAGCCGCGGUAAUACGAAGGGGGCUAGCGUUGCUCGGAUUUACUGGGCGGAAAGGGCGCGAAGGCGGACAGUUAAGUCAGGGGUGAAAUCCAGGGGCUCAACCUCGGAACUGCCUUUGAUACUGGGUGUCUUGAGUAUGAGAGAGGUGUGUGGAACUCCGAGUGUAGAGGUGAAAUUCGUAGAUAUUCGGAAGAACACCAGUGGCGAAGGCGACACACUGGCUCAUUACUGACGCUGAGGCGCGAAAGCGUGGGGAGCAAACAGGAUUAGAAACCCGGGUAGUCC